CUAGGCAGGGAAGAACGAUCAUCUUCUCCAUUAAUCAGCCUCAGUAUUCCAUCUUCAGACGUUUUGAUAGCCUCACCUUAGUGGCCAAAGGAAAAGUCCUGUUUCAUGGGCCUGCACAGGACGCUUUGGAGUACUUCAAAUUAGCAGGUUAUCACCAUGAGCCCCACAACAACCCUGCUGACUUCUUCCUGGAUGUUAUAAAUGAGGAUUCCUCAGCUGUGAUAUUAGGAGGGGAGGAAGAAGACCAUGAAUACAAUGAACAUAAAGAGCUUUUCAAGAGAGAAAACCAAGUCACAGAAAAAUUAGCUGAGUUUUAUGCUCAGUCCUCCUUAUAC